ACGGAAGGCAGCAGUGGGGAAUAUUGCACAAUGGGGGAAACCCUGAUGCAGCGACGCCGCGUGAGUGAAGAAGUAUUUCGGUAUGUAAAGCUCUAUCAGCAGGAAAGAAAAUGACGGUACCUGACUAAGAAGCCCCGGCUAACUACGUGCCAGCAGCCGCGGUAAUACGUAGGGGGCAAGCGUUAUCCGGAUUUACUGGGUGUGAAGGGAGCGUAGACGGCUUUGCAAGUCUGAAGUGAAAGCCCGGGGCUCAACCCCGGAACUGCUUUGGAAACUGUAGAGCUAGAGUGCAGGAGAGGUAAGUGGAAUUCCUAGUGUAGCGGUGAAAUGCGUAGAUAUUAGGAGGAACACCAGUGGCGAAGGCGGCUUACUGGACUGUAACUGACGUUGAGGCUCGAAGGCGUGGGGAGCAAACAGGAUUAGAUACCCUGGUA
rnacentral:rRNA from 1 species